rnacentral:rRNA from 1 species
UUCUUAAAGAUAGUAAUUUAAGUAAUUUCUGCUCAAUGCAAAUUGUAAAUAGCUGCGUGAGCACUAAGGUAGCAUAAUAAAUUGUCUAUUAAUUGUAGACUGGAAUGAAAGAAUUUAUGAGGAAAAUUUUUCUUAAAAUUAUUUAUUGAAAUUAAAUUUUUAGUAAUAAUGCUAGAUUAAAUUUUAGGGACGAGAAGACCCUAUGAAGCUUUAUAAAUUAAUUAUUGUGAUGAUAAAAGGUUUAUUUUGUUGGGGCAACAUCCUAAGAGAAAAGUUUGGGAAAAUUUUUUUGUUAAUUUAUAUAGAUAAAUAUUUAUGAGCCAUAAAUUAUGAGUGUUGGAAUAAGUUACUUUAGGGAUAACAGCAUAAUUUUGAUUAAAAAGUUCAUAUUGAAAAUUUAGAUUAUGACCUCGAUGUUGAAUUAAUAGUAUUUUUUGAUGAAGAAGUUAAAAGAAUUAGUCUGUUCGACUAGUAAACUAUUACA